ensembl:lncRNA
GAAGAACCUGAGGAGGACCAUGCAACAGCAUGCAGACAAAGGGAAUAUCAAAUUGCACAAAAUAAAGACCCACAAAUUAAAACAAGAUCCAACAGGCAUCAACAAUACUGGAGGUCCAUGCUGCUAUAGCCAGUGCGGCCUCAAAUCUGGCGCUAUUGGGGUCCCUGACAGUCAUCAGAAUGAUGUCAGACAGGGAUGAGGUUGUGAAGUCUGCUCUCAAAUUCUAUUUGGACAACAGACUACAUGUCCCUCUCCAACAGUAAGUGUUUUGAUCAUUUUAGCCCAAUAUGUCGAUUCAUUUAAUAUGAAAAAUGUCUGCUUAAUGCACUGCAUAUACCAGGUCAAGCAGGUAGGGAGGGUGUUACGCCCCAUUCUAGGGGCCUAGGACGCAACAUGAAAACCCCCCACCUUCCCCAACUCCCAAGUAGCCACGAGCACACGUUAGUCAGUUUUAACCGAAAACAGGAUUUAUUCACACAAUAUUAUCAACGUAAGUAAGGUAGGCUUCAGAGUGGGGCCAGGCCGAAAUAACAAACGAAACUUCCCUAUCUGAAACAAAAUGGACUCUAACCUAAGAAAACAAAUGACAAAUCAACUCAGCUCCCUUUCUAAUAAAAACAAGAGAAAACAAUACACACCGAAAUGGCAGCCCAACCCUACUAUUUCCGUGCCAUGCCGUAAUUUGACGCCUCAUUGUUCCGACGUCUCAAUGUUCCGAAAUAUUUCCCAUUAGAUCGACAUGCCACUAUUCCGACGGUUCAAUGUUCCGAAAACGAAACCCAUUGGUCCGAAGGUCCGUUAGUCCGACUUUUCGAAAAGGAGGCGCAUUAGGCCGACUAGGAAAAAUAGUUUUAUACCUCGCUCGCUCCCUCUCCCUCUCCCUCUCUCUCACUCUCUCUGUCUCCAAAAUACAACCUAGGCCUACAUAUCACGUUCACGAUGAAUUUGAGGGCAAAAAGACAACGCUUCACUUCAUUUCGACACGGUGUUGCAGCACCAUGGACAGAGAGCGGAGGUCUAAUUCUCAACACAGGCACGAACACGAACACACACACACAGAGUGAGAGGGAGAGGGAGCGGGAGCGAGCGAGGUAUAAAACUCUUUUUCGUAUUGUGCAUAUUGAACCGUCGGCCUAAUGCGCCUCUUCCUUUUUGAAAAGUCGGACUAACGGACCUUCGGACCAAUGGGUUUCGUUUUCGGAACAUUGAACCGUCGGAAUAGUGGCAUGUCGAUCUAAUGGGAAAUAUUUCGGAACAUUGAGGCGUCGGAACAAUGAGGCGUCAGAAUUACGGGCAGGCCCCACUAUUUCACAGAGAAACUUCUAAACUGAAAUACAGGACUUAUUAAACGUGUGGCUUGUUGGGAGAGGAGGAGGAUGGAAGUGCUGGCUGCCACGGUGGCCGUCUUGACUCCUUUUAUUCCUGUUGGGGUUUCCUGCCUCGGCCAAUCACCGUCCCCGGCCGAAAUGAGUGGACCAAUCCCCACCCAGGAAUGGCACAUUCCUAUUUACAUAGGAGAUUGACAAGAAACAAGGUUUGGAGUGCUUGGGGGUGCUGCAGGUGGCAGUAGGGAGCACUGCUUUGAGAAGGCUGUUUUCAGGUGGACCCCCUGCCCCACUGACAGCAGAGCAGGUGAUGAAUAUGUUUGCCGUCAACUACUCUGUUCGAGGGAGCUCACGCCGGUCAGAGGAGGAGCGGGCAGUUGGCUACUGGAGGGACUGGCUCAUCGAUGUGGAAGGCAUGCAUACUUUGGUGGAGAUGCUUUAUUGGUGGUGGAGGACACGGAGAACAGAGUGACGCUGAACCAGCUCCUCAUGUUCGUCACUGGGGCAGACGGAGUUCCUCCCCUGGGAUUCCCAGGAGAGCCAACUUUAAACUUUUUUGCACACUGGCACUGUUUUCCCGGAAGCAAACACGUGUGCACUGAUUCUAAAGUUGCCGCUUCACACCACCUUAGAAUCAUUCAAUGAUAUCAGGAAUCAUCCAGUCGAGUCCCCCUGUUUUGGGUAUGCUUAAUUUAAGCCAACACUUUUUUUUUUUUGCACGUUCUUGCUAAUGUUUUGUAUCUUCUUUAAAUAAACAAUGUUCCAGUUCUGCGUUUUUAUGCUUUGCCAGACCCUUAUUGGAUGACUACAAUCAAAGCUUUUGUUUGGCCGUCUGCCAAAAUAAUACAUGUUGGCUUACAACUAGUGACUCUACAAUGAAGUCUUCUAUCCGCCCAAUAAUGUUUUUCUUCUUUCUUGCCUUCUCAAAUUCAACAUUUGUAUGGUUAAUUAUCUGCUGUCAAAGCACAGAUUCUGUUGAAUGAUGGAUGCUUAAAAUGUACUUUGAAACACAGAUAAAUGCGGUUGUCAAUUCACAAAUGUUUUCUGUUUCAUCAAAGAAAUUCCAUUGUGAUCAUUUACAUUGUUACAUUGAUUUAUAUAUUAACUACAACUUUUGAAAAAGAAAGUGAAUAAUAUAGCCUAGAUAGAAAGCAAAUGUCAUAGGCCUGGG